rnacentral:rRNA from 1 species
AGUUUGAUCCUGGCUCAGAACGAACGCUGGCGGCGUGCUUAACACAUGCAAGUCGAACGCGAAAGUACCGCUUCGGUGGUACAAGUAGAGUGGCGCACGGGUGAGUAACGCGUAGGUAAUCUACCCUUAUAUUUGGGAUAACAUACCGAAAGGUCUGCUAAUACCGGAUACGCUUAUUUAUACGCGAGUAUGAAUAAGGAAAGGUAACCACUGAUAUAAGUUAUCGUAUAAGGAUGAGCCUGCGUACCAUUAGCUUGUUGGUGGGGUAACGGCCUACCAAGGCAACGAUGGUUAGCGGGUCUGAGAGGAUGAUCCGCCACACUGGAACUGGAACACGGACCAGACUCCUACGGGAGGCAGCAGUGAGGAAUAUUGCGCAAUGGGGGAAACCCUGACGCAGCGACGCCGCGUGGGUGAUGAAGGCUUUCGGGUCGUAAAGCCCUGUCAAGUGGGAAGAAGUGCAUAUAGGGUAAUACUUUAUAUGUUUGACGGUACCACUAGAGGAAGCACCGGCUAACUCCGUGCCAGCAGCCGCGGUAAUACGGAGGGUGCGAGCGUUGUUCGGAAUUACUGGGCGUAAAGGGCGCGUAGGCGGCUAUAUAAGUCGGGUGUGAAAGCCCACGGCUCAACCGUGGAAGAGCAUCUGAAACUGUAUGGCUUGAGUAUGGGAGGGGAAAGUGGAAUUCCCGGUGUAGAGGUGAAAUUCGUAGAGAUCGGGAGGAACACCUGUGGCGAAGGCGACUUUCUGGACCAAUACUGACGCUGAGGCGCGAAAGCGUGGGGAGCAAACAGGAUUAGAUA